AUUGAACGCUGGCGGCAGGCCUAACACAUGCAAGUCGAGCGGAUGAAGGGAGCUUGCUCCUGGAUUCAGCGGCGGACGGGUGAGUAAUGCCUAGGAAUCUGCCUGGUAGUGGGGGGUAACGUCCGGAAACGGGCGCUAAUACCGCAUACGUCCUGAGGGAGAAAGUGGGGGAUCUUCGGACCUCACGCUAUCAGAUGAGCCUAGGUCGGAUUAGCUAGUUGGUGGGGUAAAGGCCUACCAAGGCGACGAUCCGUAACUGGUCUGAGAGGAUGAUCAGUCACACUGGAACUGAGACACGGUCCAGACUCCUACGGGAGGCAGCAGUGGGGAAUAUUGGACAAUGGGCGCAAGCCUGAUCCAGCCAUGCCGCGUGUGUGAAGAAGGUCUUCGGAUUGUAAAGCACUUUAAGUUGGGAGGAAGGGCAGUAAGUUAAUACCUUGCUGUUUUGACGUUACCAACAGAAUAAGCACCGGCUAACUUCGUG
rnacentral:rRNA from 1 species